ensembl:lncRNA
CCUUACCGAAAAUCCAUGCUCAUUUCUUGUACACAUUUAAUCAGUAUUAUCUAAGUGACUAUACUUGUCCUGAUCUUAUUAGUUGAUCAUAGUUUUGCCCACCUUGUGAUUUUUCAUUGGAUUAGUAUUAUCUAAGCAACUGUACUUGCAUUCUUACUAAUUGACUAUAGUUUUGUCCCACCUUGAACCCACCUCACCUCAAGGCUUUGUCCCAUAAAACACCUUUGAGAAGCAGGGUCAGUGGGCAACCCACUUUCUGGUUCCCCUUCUGUCUCUCUUAGAAGCUUGCUUUCUCUCAAUAAAUUUUUUCUACUCAUAACCUCCAUUGUUCCUAGAAUUCAUUCUUCGAUUUUAGAGAGCAUGAACUCACUCUUCAGCUGUCUAGCAGGUUUGGGGGUUACAUCUAUUCCCCUUAUAUCAAUUCAACACAUACUAAAUGUCUGCUGUUGGUCAUACACACCUGUAAUCUCAGCACUCUGGGAGCCUGAGGCAGGAGGAUCAUAAGUUUUUUGUUGUUGGUACUGGGGAUUGAACUCGGUUCCUUGUGUAUGUGCAGAUGCGCAGAAGGCAGCAAAACCACUAAGCUAAAUCCCGGGCCCUAGGAGGAUCAUAAGUUUGAACUCACCUUGGGCAACUUAGUGAGAUCUUGUCUCAAAAAAUAUAAAAUGGGCUGGGGAUAUAGCUAGUACAAAAAUUAUAGGCAGCUAAGUUAGAUAGAAAUUAAUAGGCAGUCAGAGCUAGGCCCUCGAGGGAGUCAGUGCAGAAGAUGAAACACAUCACAACUGUGGCUGGAGGUGCAUCCAUUAAAGGACAGGCCUCAAGAAAGAUGGAGGGCUGAAGAUGUAGCUCAAUGGCACCAUGCCUGCCUGGCAAGCACAAGGUCUUGAGUUCGAUCCUCAGUACAAAAAAAAGGUAAAGAUGGAAUGACCGAGCCUAUGUGCCUGCCUGAGGGAUAAACAAUAACUUGGGACUAUACUGUGAUUGGCAUCACCUGGUCCAGUAAAGUCCAGCUAGACAUCAGUCACCCAGGUCACAAGGGAGAUCUCAAUGAUCCCUUGAUGCUGUAAUGCUCCAGGACAAGACCACACCUGCAAGAGACACCCUGGGAGGAAACAAAUCUUCAUCUGCAUAGUUCCUCAUUGUUCUUAGAUUUUUGCCGCCCCCACCCAGUCUUUUGUUACACCUUGUUCAUCCCAAUGUGAUACUGAAAUCUACAUAUUCAUUUGUUACAUUUGUUUCUUCAGAUGUACUAAAUAAAAGGUGCUGCAAGCUAGGGCUUCUAGUCUUUGCCACCCAGAGCAGCACUGAUCAGACCCAAAGUUCAGCUUCUCAGUCUCAUUUGUCUACCUUUCCUGUAAUUCACUGUGUGCUGCCGUGGCUCGCAGGAGACUAGGACUUACUGCAGAGGUUCUGGUAACGUCCCCUUCCCCUGUUCCCUACAGGUGACCAAAGCAUUUGGACCCAUCCCUUCCCCAAAAUGCCUUUGUUUUUUUCCGUGUCCCCUUGCUAAGUGACUCACUUCCCUAUUAGAUCAAUAUUAGCUAAGUGGCUAUACUUGUAAUCCUAUUGUUUGAUUAUAGUUGUACCCACAUUGUGACUUUACUGUAUAAAUAAACCUCUCAAUAAACCUUU